rnacentral:snoRNA from 1 species
AACCCAUGGUGAGGGCACCUUUUCAGUAAGCCUUUGUAUCUCUCUUAUGCAUCGUAAAGUGUUUCUAAAUCCAUUUGCACAAAAGAAGAGAUAUCAUUCUGCAAUU